GACGAACGCUGGCGGCGUGCUUAACACAUGCAAGUCGAACGGACAGGCCCUGCUUUUGUGGGGUGCUCGAGUGGCGAACGGGUGAGUAACACGUGAGUAACCUGCCCUUGACUUUGGGGUAACUUCAGGAAACUGGGGCUCAUACCGGAUAGGAGCUCCUGCUGCAUGGUGGGGGUUGGAAAGUUUCGGCGGUUGGGGCUGGUCUCGCGGCUUAUCCGCUUGUUGGUGGGGUAGUGGCUUACCAAGGCUUAGACGGGUAGCCGGCCUGAGAGGGGGACCGGCGACAUGGGGACUGAGAUACGGCGCAGAAGCCUACGGGAGGCAGCAGGGGGGAAUAUUACACAAUGGGCGGAAGCGUGUUGCAGCAGCGCUGCGUGCGGGAUGACGUCCUACGGGUUAUGAACCGCUUUCGAAGGUGACGUAGCCGUAGUGACGGUAACGAGUAAGAAAGCACCGGCUAACUACGUG
rnacentral:rRNA from 1 species